rnacentral:rRNA from 1 species
GAGAGAGCUUGCUCUCUUGGUGGCGAGUGGCGGAGGAAAGAGUAAUAUAUCGGAACGUGCCCAGUAGCGGGGGAUAACUACUCGAAAGAGUGGCUAAUACCGCAUACGCCCUACGGGGGAAAGGGGGGGAUUCUUCGGAACCUCUCACUAUUGGAGCGGCCGAUAUCGGAUUAGCUAGUUGGUGGGGUAAAGGCUCACCAAGGCAACGAUCCGUAGCUGGUUUGAGAGGACGACCAGCCACACUGGGACUGAGACACGGCCCAGACUCCUACGGGAGGCAGCAGUGGGGAAUUUUGGACAAUGGGGGAAACCCUGAUCCAGCCAUCCCGCGUGUAUGAUGAAGGCCUUCGGGUUGUAAAGUACUUUUGGCAGAGAAGAAAAGGUAUCUCCUAAUACGAGAUACUGCUGACGGUAUCUGCAGAAUAAGCACCGGCUAACUACGUGCCAGCAGCCGCGGUAAUACGUAGGGUGCAAGCGUUAAUCGGAAUUACUGGGCGUAAAGCGUGUGUAGGCGGUUCGGAAAGAAAGAUGUGAAAUCCCAGGGCUCAACCUUGGAACUGCAUUUUUAACUGCCGAGCUAGAGUAUGUCAGAGGGGGGUAGAAUUCCACGUGUAGCAGUGAAAUGCGUAGAUAUGUGGAGGAAUACCGAUGGCGAAGGCAGCCCCCUGGGAUAAUACUGACGCUCAGACACGAAAGCGUGGGGAGCAAACAGGAUUAGAU